CGAAAAUGUCUCCAGGCACUGCCAAAUGUCCCCCGGGGGUAAAGUCACCCCGGUUGACAAAGCCGGCUCUCUGCUUUGCAGCCCCAAGGCCCCCGAGCUGCUUCUCUGAGCUGCUUUCCUGUGCGCACCCCUGUAAAACAGUCACCUUUUUUGGGCAGGACGCUCUGGCCCAGAGAGGCUGGUUGACUUGCCAGAUUUUGCUUUCUGUGACUGACGUAAAGCAUCUUCCAUCUUUGUUCCAGUUACCUGGCUUAGCUCUUCCCUGCCUUGUACUCCCCAGAACAGGUGUGUUUAUGUGCACACAUCUGCCUCACUCCACUCAGUGCCCUGUCACAUUUCGUCCCAAUCUGUUCCCCUUCCUUCAGUCCUGCACGGAAAGCACCAUGGGACAUACCUGUGUGUGCCCAGCAGUGUCCCCAGUUCAGAAGGCAGUCAAGGCAGACAACAGAGUCUUCCACACUCCUCCAGUCAGGCUGGGUGGGAAUUGCUCUGUGCAGUGUCACGACCACAAUCUGAGUGAACAUCGACAAAGCCCCCUUAGCAGCUAAUUAGCCCUGCCAUGCACGGUGGGUAUCGUUUAUCGUCUGGCUAUGCACCAGUCUUUCCUCCCUGCCUGGAAGACCCAGCGGCUGUCACUGUGAUUGUCUGCACUGCUGUUGUAGUGACAGGAGGUUUGGUGGUUUGGUGCAGAACAGGUGCCCCGGGUUCAGCAAGCUGGGCCAGACCAAGGUCGAGAGAUACCUCAGAGAAGUCUGAGAGGUGGCAGGUGCAGACGUGAGGGUGUUCUUAGACUAGAUCAGCCAGAGGCCUCACAGAGUUAGGCAGGCCUGAACUUCCCACCCCUCGCCUGUGAAGCUUCUGCCCUCCCAGCUAUGAACUGAGGAAGGCCCUGCUUCCUGAUACCGGCUCGGGCAGCAUGGGCUGCCGCCCGGCACACGAGGUACCCAUUCUGUCCUUGGGGUUCCUGAGCCUGGAGACCAGGACAUCGUCUGUCUGGCUCACUGCUGUCUCCACUGUUGGUUAAUACCUAUUUGUUAAAUGAUUGAAAACAUGUCAGCCACUUGAUAGGAUAAGCCAGCCUGGUUGAUGUGGGUGCUGUCUGAGGCUCCAGAGUUGAUUGUGACCCUUUCAGUCUUGUUCCGACCUCUGAGAUUGCAUGUGGAAGCCAAACAGGAUUUUGCUCUGUUCAAAUUAAUUUCUCAAGGACGGGGUUUAUCAAAAGUCCUUCCUGUUUGAAUCCUCUCCUCUGGGAAGGCUUCUCCUUCGGCAUAUGUCCCCAGUGGACAGUCCUCAUCUCCCAGUCGCUCCAGCCGGGGCAGGCCCAGGUCUCCAGGCUUCUCUGGCUGCUCAGGGAUGACCUGUGUGCAUGCUUCUUUCAAAGGCUAACACAAAAGCAGGGGAGGAGACAGGCCUUGAGGUGAGGAAAUUUGUCCAAAGGCCCCCAGCAAGUCAGAGGAAGGGCUAGAAUCUGGCUCUUCAGGCCCUCCUAGAGCACUGUCACUGCAUCAUGUGGCCUUUGUAAGUGACAGGCAGCUGGAGACAAGUUUUCAUCAGAAAAGUGGCCAGAUGUUAGGCAUUGUCUGCACCACUAAAAAGCAGCUCCAGGAACAGAUGCCCACGUCGUAGCAGACCAACUAGGACGUGCUACGGAAGCCAGCAAGAGUGUGGGGAGCCUGGAGGAGGAAAGAGGAAAAGGCAAGAACAGGCCGUAUGCCCGCAGAGGCCACGUCCCCUGGGCACAAGCAAGGAAAAGACCCCAGCCUGUGCCAAGAACCAAGAACCAAGAAGCAUGCCUGGUGAUUCCUAUUUCCUGCGUGCAGCCUGGGCUCCCUGGCUCAUCUCUUCCUGGAAGGUCUUGGAAGUGAGGUGAUUGGACAAGGAAAGGCACUUCGCUGCAGCAUCUGGAAGGCUUCAUUCAUUUGCCCAUUCAGUGGACAUUUGCUGUGCGCUAGGUCUGGGAGGAAGGAAAUGAGAAGACUGAAGCUCAGAGAGUUUACAUGACUUCCUCCAUGUCUCACUGCAAGUGAAGAAACAGGCUGCAGAUGAAGAGCUGAAACCACAAUCUUAGAGGGGCUGGUUGUCUCCCCAGCUGCACUGUGGCGUUCUCAAGGUAGACAUCUCAGGGGCAACACAGCGACAUGGAAAAGAGCUUACUGGGACCAGGCUGCCUGCGUUCAGCCGCGAGGUUAUUACCUGUGGUGACCUGGGGUAAGUCAGUCAGCCCUUCAGUGCCUCAGUUUCCCUAUCUGGAAAAUGGCAAUAACCACAGUUGUUGUGAAGAUUGACUACGACGAUCCACAUGAAGGCCUCAGUACGGUGUGUGACACACAGCAGUGUUCGUGAAAGAGUAGCUAGUAUUAACAGCCACAUCUCCUGGUUCUCUUGUGAACCCCCGUGGGUCCAGCAUUGGCACACAGCACACAGGAAGGUUCAGUGUUUGCUGCUUCACUAGGAGCCUUUCAGGAAGUGUGGUCAUAAGAAGUGAGAGGUGAUUUACAAGUGGCACAGCAUCUGUCACAAGGGCUUUAUUUGCACAAUAAAUGCUACCAGACAUGUAAGAUAUGCUUAUGAGCAUGUCUUUUGUAAUCAGCACCCUCUAGAAAGUUCCCCUCCCCUAAUGCUCCUGGCCUUGGCUGUGGCCACACCCACUGCCCAAGUGAGCAGUGUCAGCUGUCGGCUGUCCUCUUUCUUCCGGAUUAGGCUCCUCUACAGGGAUCUUCCCAUGGUUAUACAUUUGGAGAAUUGGAGAAUGCUUCACAAACACUUCCAAAUGUCUCAUAGCAAUGAGAGGCCAGUGCAAAGGGUAGAGGGAGCUCUCCUCUGCCACAGAAAUCAGAGCUGG
rnacentral:lncRNA from 1 species